AGCAAAGGCCUGAAGAGGGUCUGGGCAUCCACUUCCCUCCACCUGGCCCAGGCCAGGCAGUUCUUGCAGCCACAUUGCCAGCACGUGACCGGAAACCAUGCAGCUUCUGAUCUCUUCCCAGCUGCUGCAGUAGCAGCCCCAGGCUGAGAUGGAUGCAGCACCGCUUCACUCCUGUUCUGGGCUCCCUGGACUCCGCUUCUUCCAUGCCUUCCUGGCCUUCUGGUGCACCUUUGUGGGCAGUGGCUCUGCCCAGAAUGUGAUCCAGACUCCAAGCUUUGUCAAUAGCUUGGCUGGGGCAAAUGUUAACUUCUAUUGCUCUGUUGACAAAGGCUAUAAUUUCUAUUGGUAUCGCCAAGUGCCUGGGAAGACAGAGCUUGAAGUCCUUGGGUCUCUCUACAGUCACAGUACAACACUCGAAGAUAUUCCAAAUGAUUUGAAGGAUCGGCUGAAUGGAAGGAUCUCAGACAAUUCAGAUACAUCUAGGCGGAAAAUGUAUUUGAAUUUGUCAAAUCUUCAGGCGAAUGACAAGGGCUUCUAUCUCUGUGCUGGGGUGUACACAGUGAAAGAGAGAGGAACAGUAGCAGGUGCAAAACUGAGUAUCAGGAUGAAAUCUGCCCUUUACUCUUUUCGAUUCAUGUCCAUCUUUUACCUGACAUCAUACUAAUACACGGGUUCUGUUCUAGUGUUCUCAUAUUUAGAGCAGCCUUUGUUUCAUUUAUGCCUUUCAGAUGCCCAGAACUGCCAUUUUUACACUGGUUGUGGCGUGAGCAUUUUGAUCAAAUAAACUGUUAGAC